ACAUUAUCAAUUACAGUGUUGACUAUAAUGU
rfam:Cricetulus griseus cell line CHO-K1, whole genome shotgun sequence.